rnacentral:rRNA from 1 species
UACGUAGGCAGCAAGCGUUGUUCGGAGUUACUGGGCGUAAAGGGUGCGUAGGCGGUUGUUUAAGUUUGGUGUGAAAUCUCCCGGCUUAACUGGGAGGGUGCGCCGAAUACUGAAUGACUAGAGUGCGGGAGAGGAUAGUGGAAUUCCUGGGUGUAGCGGUGAAAUGCGUAGAUAAUCAGGAGGAACACCGGUGGUGUAGACGGCUAUCUGGACCGGUAACUGACGCUGAGGCACGAAAGCGUGGGUAGCAAAGCAGG